rnacentral:rRNA from 1 species
CCCUUAGAUGUUCUGGGCCGCACGCGCGCUACACUGACGAAUGCAACGAGCUUAAAACCUUGGCCGAAAGGUCUGGGUAAUCUCCAAAUUUCGUCGUGAUGGGGAUAGAUUAUUGCAAUUAUUAAUCUUCAACGAGGAAUGCCUAGUAAGCGCAAGUCAUCAGCUUGCGUUGAUUACGUCCCUGCCCUUUGUACACACCGCCCGUCGCUCCUACCGAUUGAAUGGUCCGGUGAAGCGUUCGGACCGUGGCCUUUGGACGGUUCGCCGUCUGUUGGCUGCGGGAAGUUCGUUAAACCUUAUCAUUUAGAGGAAGGAGAAGUCGUAACA